rnacentral:rRNA from 1 species
GACGAACGCUGGCGGCGUGCUUAACACAUGCAAGUCGAACGGAAAGGCCCUGCUUUUGUGGGGUUCUCGAGUGGCGAACGGGUGAGUAACACGUGAGUAACCUGCCCUUGACUUUGGGAUAACUUCAGGCAACUGGGGCUACUACCGGAUAGGAGCUCCUGCUGCAUGGUGGGGGUUGGAAAGUUUCGGCGGUUGGGGAUGGACUCGCGGCUUAUCAGCUUGUUGGUGGGGGAGUGGCUUACCAAGGCUUUGACUGGUAGCCGGCCUGAGAGGGUGACCGGGGACAAGGGGACUGAGAGAGGGCGCAGACGGGAAUGUGAGGCAGCAGGGGGGAAUAUGGUACAAUGAGCGGGAGCCUGAGGCAGAAACGCUGGGAGCGGGAAGAAGGUCUUGGGGGUGUAAACCGCUGUAGGCUGUGACGAAGCGGGAGUGACGGUAAUGGGUAAAGAAGCACCGGCUAACUACGUG